rnacentral:rRNA from 1 species
GAUGAACGCUAGCGGGAGGCCUAACACAUGCAAGCCGAGCGGUAUUUGUUCUUCGGAACAGAGAGAGCGGCGUACGGGUGCGGAACACGUGUGCAACCUACCUUUAUCAGGGGGAUAGCCUUUCGAAAGGAAGAUUAAUACCCCAUAAUAUAUUGACUGGCACCAGUUGGUAUUGAAAACUCCGGUGGAUAGAGAUGGGCACGCGCAAGAUUAGAUAGUUGGUAGGGUAACGGCCUACUAAGUCAGUGAUCUUUAGGGGGCCUGAGAGGGCGAUCCCCCACACUGGUACUGAGACACGGACCAGACUCCUACGGGAGGCAGCAGUGAGGAAUAUUGGACAAUGGGUGAGAGCCUGAUCCAGCCAUCCCGCGUGAAGGACGACGGUUCUAUGGAUUGUAGACUUCUUUUAUACUGGGAUAAACCUACCCUCGUGAGGGUAGCUGAAGGUACAGUAUGAAUAAGCACCGGCUAACUCCGUGCCAGCAGCCGCGGUAAUACGGAGGGUGCAAGCGUUAUCCGGAUUUAUUGGGUUUAAAGGGUCCGUAGGCGGAUCUGUAAGUCAGUGGUGAAAUCUCAUAGCUUAACUAUGAAACUGCCAUUGAUACUGCAGGUCUUGAGUAAAGUAGAAGUGGCUGGAAUAAGUAGUGUAGCGGUGAAAUGCAUAGAUAUUACUUAGAACACCAAUUGCGAAGGCAGGUCACUAUGUUUUAACUGACGCUGAUGGACGAAAGCGUGGGGAGCGAACAGGAUUAGAUACCCUGGUAGUCCACGCCGUAAACGAUGCUAACUCGUUUUUGGGUCUUCGGAUUCAGAGACUAAGCGAAAGUGAUAAGUUAGCCACCUGGGGAGUACGUUCGCAAGAAUGAAACUCAAAGGAAUUGACGGGGGCCCGCACAAGCGGUGGAUUAUGUGGUUUAAUUCGAUGAUACGCGAGGAACCUUACCAAGGCUUAAAUGGGAAUUGACAGGUUUAGAAAUAGACUUUUCCUCGGACAAUUUUCAAGGUGCUGCAUGGUUGUCGUCAGCUCGUGCCGUGAGGUGUUAGGUUAAGUCCUGCAACGAGCGCAACCCCUGUCACUAGUUGCCAUCAUUCAGUUGGGGACUCUAGUGAGACUGCCUACGCAAGUAGAGAGGAAGGUGGGGAUGACGUCAAAUCAUCACGGCCCUUACGCCUUGGGCCACACACGUAAUACAAUGGCCAGUACAGAGGGUAGCUACCUAGCGAUAGGAUGCGAAUCUCGAAAGCUGGUCUCAGUUCGGAUUGGAGUCUGCAACUCGACUCUAUGAAGCUGGAAUCGCUAGUAAUCGCGCAUCAGCCAUGGCGCGGUGAAUACGUUCCCGGGCCU